rnacentral:rRNA from 1 species
AUGCAGGACGGUAUUGUACCUUGUGGGAAUCGGGUACUCCGGGAAGAGCCCGGCGAGGAUCCGGCAGAGCUCGCCGCGAUGCAGCGUCCUCUCUGCGCAGACGUAGCGCCGUCCCCCGGCAUUGGGCGCCUCGAGCACCCUGACGUGCGCCUCGGCGGCGUCCUUGACAUGCACGUAGGCGUGCGACUCGUUGACGUACGCCUUGGCCUCGCCGGUGAGGUACUUGAGUAUGUGCUUGGUGCUGGUGUUCAUGCUCGGCUGCAGCAGCUCGCCGAGCGUCACCACCGGGAUCACCACCGCCAGGUCCAGCCCCAGCGCCCGCGCCGCCUCCCACGCGCCCCGCUCCGCGAUCGUCUUGGCGUAGCAGUACCAGUUCUGCCGUCAUUCGUGCGCACGGGCGUCAAUGGCGAAGAUCGGGUGGAUAAAUUAGAGUUGGAGGCUGCAGGGUGCAGGUUCCGGACCUUGGUUUGUUUGCAGUAG